rnacentral:lncRNA from 1 species
AUACUACAAUGUAUGUUUCUCAAAUAUCUAUAGUCAACUUGUUACCUGAUUUUAUUGAGGGAUUUCUAAAUGGACCGUGUUAUUUUUGCACAUAUAAAAAUAUUGGCAACAAUUUCUUUUUCUUUUUUUAUUUAUAGAUUUUGUCAUGCCAUCAUUGCAGGUAUUCUUUCUCAUUUGUUUCAGGUAUCUCCUCCAUUCUCUUAUAAUAAGUUUUGGUAGUUUGGUUUCAGGCUACAAGGUAAAAGAAACAGCGAAGUUAGGUCCUGUCAGAGAAGCCUACGAAUUCGAAGGGUACUAUAUAUUAGGUGGAGCCAUCAUAAUUCAAUAAUUCAUGAUUUUUAUGAUAAAGAUUUGAUUUAUCUUUAGCUACAUGUUAUGUUAAGAAUUAAAAAAUCAUGUUAUGUUUGAUACUUUAUUUGUAUAGGAGUUAUAGGAGUUAUUACUUUUUAUUUUCAAUACUAAAAUAUUAUAUAUUAUGUUUAAUACUUUAUUUGAGUUAUGUAAUAUUUUGUUUAUAAGUUA